GAUGGACUUUCCGCUACCCUUUCUAAGGGAAAGGGCAGCGGAUAUUUAUAUGUAUCCACUACCCGGGGCAGCGGAACAAAAUUAAUUAAAAAGAAAAACAAAAAAUAAAAAUCAAAACCAGAUCUGCCCUAGUCCUCUACCUUAGUACCUUAUCGACCUCCGCCUUCACAGAUCUGCGUCGUUCGCCUCCCUCAUCCUCAAAAGUCGUUCUCCUCCCUCAUCCUCCCACGCCGGCGCCUCCCUCAUCUUCCCACAACGCCGGCGCCUCCCUCAUCCUCCCACGACACCGGCGCCUCCCUCAGCCUCGGACAAAUGCCGACGCCUACACCAAGCUAAAGACUCCAAUAUCUCCCUCAUCAGCCACCCACGCCGCUGCCUCCAUCGUCUCCACCAAAGUCGAUGACCUAAGCCGCACCGCCGCUGCUUCUGCGAGCGAGUUCCAUCCACCGCAGCAGUCUAUUUCGAUCCACCGCCACUACUUCAAGGGAAUUGAAAGCCGGAUCUAUGAAAUAAGUAGAAUAAAUAUCUCUUAUCUUUGAGUGCAAGCACUCAACAGGUGGAUCAUGGAUUAUUAGGAGUUGCGGUUUUAAGAAGAAUUCACUGGUUGUUUGAUCAUGAAUCAACCGAAAAUCAAGCGUAAAGUUGGUAAAUAUGAACACUGGUACUAUUUAGCCACCGCCCUUCCAUUGUUGCUUCUGCUAGGGAUAUUCAAGCGAAGCUAAAGAAGAAUUUUGGAAAAGAAAAUUUUGAGAUUAAAAUUCAAGGGCAUGGCCUGAAGAGUGUGUAGAAGAUGUUGAAAAGGCAAAUUCUGAGGAUGGUGAUGAAUCAUUAGCAGGGGGCAGAUGGUAGAGUGUGUAGAGGAAGAAAUUGGAUAUGGGAAAUUGAAGUCAUAGGCAACAUACUCUUCAGAGUGCAUGUAACUUGUUUUUAGAUUAAGUAUUAUCUUUUGUUUAUAAAUUAUUAUAACUUAUUAUAAAGUAUUUAGGUGGAUUAUAUUGUGAGAUUAUUAUAUUGCAGGUGUUAAAAGUGUAUGUGUGAUAAUAUUAUGUUGAUGAUUAGCAUUGUGUUGAUGGUUAA